ACACUGUUGGGACCGCCUCUGCUAAAGAGGAGGAAGGGAAUGGGCAACGGUAGGUCAGCAUGCCCCGAAUUAUCUGGGCUACACGCGGGCUACAAUGGGUGGGACAAUGGGUAUCGACACCGAAAGGUGAAGGCAAUCUCCUAAACCCAUCCGUAGUUCGGAUUGUGGGCUGCAACUCGCCCACAUGAAGCUGGAAUCUGUAGUAAUCGUGUCUCAAAAUGGCACGGUGAAUAUGUCCCUGCUCCUU
rnacentral:rRNA from 1 species